rnacentral:rRNA from 1 species
UAGGGAAUAUUGCAAAAUGGGCGAAAGCCCGAUGCAGCAACGCCGCGUGGGCGAUGAAGGCCUUCGGGUCGUAAAGCCCUUUUUGAGGGGAUGAGGAAGGACAGUACCCUCAGAAUAAGCCUCGGCUAACUACGCGCCAGCAGCCGCGGUAAAACGUAGGAGGCGAGCGUUAUCCGGAUUUACUGGGCGUAAAGCGCGUGCAGGCGGAUUGGAGAGUUGGAUGUGAAAGCUCCCGGCUUAACUGGGAGAGGUCGUUCAAUACUUCCAGUCUUGAGUGCAGUAGAGNGAAGUGGAAUUCCGGGUGUAGUGGUGAAAUGCGUGGAUAUCCGGAGGAACACCAGUGGCGAAAGCGGCUUCCUGGACUGUAACUGACGCUCAGACGCGAAAGCUAGGGUAGCAAACG